ACCCAAGUGACGUGUCCCGAAUAGGACGAAACGCGUGUCCUGGAU
rnacentral:hammerhead_ribozyme from 1 species